ensembl:lncRNA
AUAUAUAUAUUUUUAGGAGAAAUUAAUACCUCCAUUCAGCAAGGAUGCAUGAAAUUGACAGCAAAGAUAUUUAAAAUGUUACAAAACAUUUCUUUAUCACAUAAAUGCUGUUCUAUAGAAUUUUCGAUUCAAACAAUCCUGUAUCGUGGUUUCCGGAAAAAGAUAUAAAGCUGCACAACUGUUUUCAACAUUAAUAAUAAUAAUGCAUGUUUCUUAAGAAGCAAAUCAGCAUAUUAGAAUGAGAGAAAUGAUACUGAAAAUUCAGCUUUGCAUCACAGGAAUAAAUUACAUUUUGAAAUAUAUUUAAAAAGAAACCAAUUAUUUGAAAUUGUAAAAAUAUUUCUCAAAAUUGCUGUUUUUACUGAUAAAAUAUAUGCAGCAUUUAUUUGUUUUUAUGCUCAAAAAAAAAAAAAUCUUACUGACUACAAACUUUUCGACAGUACACACUAAAAAGGAAUUUCUAGCACCAUGUAAUUCAUAUGUGUAAGUAACAUAUCCAUGCAGCUAGCAUUUGUUUUUAUUCAGAGCAACUUAAUACAUUCAAGACGUAUGCUACUCUGAACCCAUGACCUUGGCAUUGUUUAGCGCCGUGCUCUACCAGCUACAGGAACACGACCCUUGUUAUUGACUACAGCAGCAGCAGCAGCAGCAGCAGCAGCGUUCUCUAGCUCACAGCUCUCCAACAUGCACUUCUCCAUACUCAUUUGCAGCAGUAUCACGCCCGUUCGCCAUUCCGCUGCCAUCCUCGUUGGAAAUUAUUUGCGACCAUACUCCUGGCUAGUGAGCAUAGCUGCUGUUUCAUGGUGGCACCGUGCCCACGUUCGGCCCUGGCAAGGAGGUGGCACUAACCUGAGGGCACUUGGCAUGUCCACACAGUGACUGCUAUCUACCCUAACGCCCUCCCGCCGCUCACCGCCACCGGUUCUUCGCUCUGCUUCCCAGCAUUAAUUAAACUUGGAUGCAGCUGAAGCGCUGCGGUUAAUACCCGCUGAAACCUCGGCACCUGCUACCCUCAAGAGACUCCCCCAUGGUGAAGUCAUGAAUAAAAUUCAUGUUGGUGUUUGGGAUUAGUCAACUUCUCAUUUUUACACUUUAAUAGACAUUUGUUGACAGUGUGUGAUUUCUACUUGCAUUUCUCCAGCUUUCAUUUUUUAACUGUCCUUGGUUAUCAAAGGAUAGAGUAGUCUGUUUUGUUUGAUUGCGCUAUGAUUUCAUUUGCUUAUAGCAACUGUUUCAGUUGAAAAAAAAAACUGUGCUCAGUAAUGUGCUGUGUUGGGAAGUUUACUUUAUACAGUAUUUUAUACAUUAGGUUACUGUAUAUAAAUUUUACAAGUUACCCUAUUUAAAAUGUAAUAAGUAGUGCAACUAUUUUGAUUACUUUAUUAAUGUAAUGUAACUGAUUUCUUUUGAUUUUUUUUAUUACUUUUCUAAAUUUCUAUCAUUUUAAAACAUUUAAACCACACAGGUUAACCUUACAGUUGUACUCAACACUGAUUACUGUCAGUGUUUUAUAAUGCACAGCAACCGCAAAAUCAUACCUCUUUUUACUUUGAGAUCAUUCUGAGGUUAAAUACAGAUAACAAGAGAUAAUUUAAUAGCUAUGCUGCUGUUAUUUUUUUUAUUAUUAUUUAUUUAUUUAUUUUAAAUCAAAUCUUUGCAUAGCUAUAACAGGAAACACUAGAAAAAAUAGUCAAUCUUAAAAAAUGAAGCAUAUACAUAAACCCAAAUAGAAAAUAAAACCAUUAUUGAAUAAGCAUAUGUGUCAUAUUCUUUGUCUUGAACUCCUGAAAUAUUGGUGUCUCAAAUUUUAGAGCAGUUUGCCUUUUGGGAAAGAAAUCAAUUAAGUGCGUAUGUGGGUGAAUUUAUUCACAUGUAGCCCCCUUUGUUACAUUUGUAGCAUUUUCAAAAGUAACUGUAAUUUAAUUACACAUUUUUUCUCAGUAACUGUAAUUUAUUACAGUAAUUGAUAACAACAUUUCUUCCUCUACUAUGCUCAAUUAUUAUAAUCAAUUAUUAUAAUUAAUAUUAAAAUGUGAUAUUAUUAUUUUAAAUUAUUAUACACUUCUUUUUAUAUGUUUGGGGUUGGUAAGAUAUUUAAUGUUUUUGAAAGAAGUCUGUUAUUCUCAACAGAGCUGCAUUUUUUUUAUAAACACUGUAAAAACAGUAAUAUUGUGAAAUAUUAUUAAAAUUUAAAGGAGUCAUCGCAUGCCCAUUUUCCACAAGUUGAUAUGAUUCUUUAGGGUCUUAAUGAAAAGUCUUUAACAUACGUUGGUCAAAAUUUCUCAAUGGUAAUGUAAAAAACACCCUUUUACCCUGUCAAAAGCAGCUCAGUUUUCAGCAAGCUGUUUUUGAGUCCAUGUCAAAUGCUAAUGAGCUCUGCUGACCCCGCCCCUCUCUUCCAUGGAGUGACAAGCAGACAGUAAACUUCAGCCACGAAACUGGCUAAGUAGCACACUAUUUGGAAAGACGAUUUGCAAAGAUUCAUUAAAAAAAAAAAAACCUUAUACUUCCUCUAUAGAUUGAGCUGGUUUACGAAUGAUUUGCGCAAACUUACAUGCAUUUAGGCAGAUCAGCGCAUUCCCUUCAAAAUGAAAGUAAUGUCUUCAGUGGCUCAGAUGUCGGGAGUAAAUGACGACGACAGGGCGGGUCUAAGGUAAGGCGGCCUUGUCAAUCAACCAUCUUGGGAGGGGUCUGUGCAAAACUACGUCAUUCUGACAGGAAUCUCAGAACAGCCUGAUUUGAGAAAGGAGAUUUUAAAAUAGGGAUUUAAAAAAAAACACUGGGUGGAUUUUUAAUCGUUAUAGGGUGGAUGUUGACACACACUUCCAACACACAUUUAUGUUCAAACAACAACAAAAGUGAAUUUUGCAUUCGAUGACCCCAUAAAUAACUGUUCCCUAUUUUAAUAUAUGGUCAAAUGUGAUUUAUUUAUGUGAUGAAAGCUGAAUUUUUAGCAUCAUACAGUCUUC